GACGAACGCUGGCGGCGUGCUUAACACAUGCAAGUCGAACGGAAAGGCCCCUUCGGGGGUACUCGAGUGGCGAACGGGUGAGUAACACGUGAGUAACCUGCCCUUGACUUCGGGAUAACUUCAGGAAACUGGGGCUAAUACCGGAUAGGAAUCCUUGCUGCAUGGUGGGGGUUGGAAGCUUCGGCGGUUUUGGAUGGACUCGCGGCUUAUCAGCUUGUUGGUGGGGUAGUGGCUUACCAAGGCUUUGACGGGUAGCCGGCCUGAGAGGGCGACCGGCCACAUUGGGACUGAGAUACGGCCCAGACUCCUACGGGAGGCAGCAGUGGGGAAUAUUGCACAAUGGGCGGAAGCCUGAUGCAGCAACGCCGCGUGCGGGAUGACGGCCUUCGGGUUGUAAACCGCUUUCAGCAGGGGCGAAGCUUGUGGUGACGGUACCUGCAGAAGAAGCACCGGCGAACUACGU
rnacentral:rRNA from 1 species